rnacentral:rRNA from 1 species
UACGUAGGCAGCGAGCGUUGUUCGGAAUUACUGGGCGUCAAGAGUGUGUAGGCGGCGCUCUAAGUUCGGUGUGAAAUCUCUCGGCUUAACUGGGAGGGUGCGCCGGAAACUGGAGUGCUCGAACGUGGGAGAGGAAAGCGGAAUUCCUGGUGUAGCGGUGAAAUGCGUAGAUAUCAGGAGGAACACCUGCGGUGUAGACGGCUUUCUGGACCAUUGUUGACGCUGAGACACGAAAGCGUGGGUAGCAAACAGG